UACGUAGGGUGCGAGCGUUGUCCGGAUUUAUUGGGCGUAAAGAGCUCGUAGGCGGUUUGUCGCGUCGGCCGUGAAAUCUCCACGCUUAACGUGGAGCGUGCGGUCGAUACGGGCAGACUUGAGUUCGGUAGGGGAGACUGGAAUUCCUGGUGUAGCGGUGAAAUGCGCAGAUAUCAGGAGGAACACCGAUGGCGAAGGCAGCUCGCUGGGACGGUACUGACGCUGAGGCGCGAAAGCGUGGGGAGCAAACAGG
rnacentral:rRNA from 1 species